UACGAAGGGGGCUAGCGUUGCUCGGAUUUACUGGGCGUAAAGGGCGCGUAGGCGGUUCGUUAAGUCAGAUGUGAAAGCCCUGGGCUCAACCUGGGAACGGCAUUUGAAACUGGCGGACUAGAGUUUAGUAGAGGGGAGUGGAAUUUCAGGUGUAGCGGUGAAAUGCGUAGAUAUCUGAAGGAACACCAGUGGCGAAGGCGACUCCCUGGACUAGAACUGACGCUGAGGUACGAAAGCGUGGGUAGCAAACAGGAUUAGAUACCCCUGUAGU
rnacentral:rRNA from 1 species